rnacentral:rRNA from 1 species
CCGCGGUAGUACGUAGGGUGCGAGCUUAAUCGGAAUUACUGGGCGUAAAGCGUGCGUAGGCGGUUUCUGAAGUCCGCUGUGAAAGCCCCGGGCUUAACCUGGGAAUGGCAUGGAAACUAGGGGACUUGAAUCUGGCAGAGGGGGGUGGAAUGCCGCGUGUAGCAGUGAAAUGCGUAGAGAUGCGGCGGAACACCGAUGGCGAAGGCAGCCCCCUGGGCUGAGAUUGACGCUGAGGCACGAAAGCGUGGGGAGCAAACAGGAUUAGAUACCCUGGUAGUCCACGCCCUCGAUGGUAGGUGUUGGGGGAGCAAUUCCUUGGUACCGCAGCUAACGCGUGAAGUUGCCCGCCUGGGGAGUACGGUCGCAAGAUUAAAACUCAAAGGAAUUGACGGGGACCCGCACAAGCGGUGGAUGAUGUGGAUUAAUUCGAUGCAACGCGAAUAACCUUACCUACUGACAUGGUCGGAACCCUGCAGAGAGGGGGUGCCCGAAAGGGAGCCGACACACAGGUGCUGCA